GACGAACGCUGGCGGCGUGCCUAAUACAUGCAAGUCGAGCGAGACUCUUCGGAGUCUAGCGGCGGACGGGUGAGUAACACAUGGGCAACCUGCCUGUAAGACUGGGAUAACACCGGGAAACCGGUGCUAAUACCGGAUAAUCCUUUUCCUCUCAUGAGGAAAAGCUGAAAGUCGGUUUCGGCUGACACUUACAGAUGGGCCCGCGGCGCAUUAGCUAGUUGGUGAGGUAACGGCUCACCAAGGCGACGAUGCGGAGCCGACCUGAGAGGGUGACCGGCAAGAAUAGGACUGAGACACGGCCCAGACUCCUACGGGAGGCAGCAGUAGGGAAGUUUCCACAAUGGACGAAAGUCUGAGGGAGCAAAGCCGCGUGAGCGAUGAAGGCCUUCGGGUCGUAAAGCUCUGUUGUUAGGGAAGAACAAGUACCGGAGUAACUGCCGGUACCUUGACGGUACCUAACCAGAAAGCCACGGCUAACUACGUGCCAGCAGCCGCAGUAA
rnacentral:rRNA from 1 species